AGCCCCGGCACCUUUUAGGGUGCUUCUCUAAAUUUGCACUUUAG
rnacentral:tRNA from 1 species